ensembl:lncRNA
CUGGGUUGUACUGGCACUACCUUUCCUGCCUGGGACUGUGGUCCUGCAGAUGGAGGAUAUGGGCUGUUCCCGGUGCCAUGGAUCCCUGUGAUGCACUCAGAUAUGGGAUUGGACUCUCCACUGCUAGGUGGAGGAGGUAUGAGGCUGAAGGUGGAGGACCCUCCUGCUUUGGGUUCCUGAAGUUUGGAAGAAGUGCAAUUAGAAUGAACUAACACAAAGGAAGAUGCAAUAACAGAGGACAGCUGCUAAGUGCUGGUAAAACAAACAUCACAUGUUCCGUGGGGCUCCUACAAGG